rnacentral:lncRNA from 1 species
AAACUGUCAGAGGUGCUCAUGGGUGGCCCAAGAACAAGGAAACUGAAGUGGCCUCACCAAGGGGGUCAGCCUCUGUUUCUGCUGAUGCUAUGUAAUACUGAGUGUGGAUCCUCUGCUCUGUGGGUGGUGCUCUGUGGCAACGGGCUGUCAGAGUGGACCAGUACUCUGAAGAGGAAAAAAUUAUCUGUGUGAAGAAACAUGGAUUCACUUCAAACCUGUCCUUUCCGAGCUACACUGAGUAAACUGGGACAGCUUCCGGUCCUCCAUCCAGGUCACAACCCCACCCCCACAGUCCUCUGGGUAAACUCUGGUAUGAAAAAUUCAUUUCGGAUUUGACCAAGGAGCUCAGAAGUUUAUGUGAUGGGGAGCAUAGACUAUAUCUUGGGAACAAUUAGGUCUUCAAGAGGUCUCCAUCCUCUGCCUACUUACAAACAGAACACAGCUCAGAUGUGGGACACACCAGAAAGAGAACCGUUCUGUGGGCCAUCUUAGAUCUUCUCUGAAAGUGCCUGUGAGAGAAGUGAAGGGAUUUUCGCAGGAAGAUUGGAAAUGUGCUGCUCCUCAAUGCCUCAAGUGGCUCCAGGAAUGGCGACACAUCUGUCAGGGUCAAGGUGACUGCAGGACAGAGGUCCCACAAAGGGACUUGGGAGCAACCCAUGGCAUGGCCCCUAUGAGAAGAGUGCUGCUCUGGCUCACCCAGGGGAUGCUUCCCUUGGCCAAAGACCAGACUCAAGUCAAAUCUGUACUAUUGCUUUACCUCUUCUCCUGCCCAUGGCUUUAACUGUGUUGGAUCUGAAACAGCAGAGAGAGAGAGAGUGGGGCAGGAGAGGUCCAGGACAGGAGAAGUCAACAGUGUAUUAUUAUGCCAUGAGUCAUGCUUGUUCAACAUACUGGUUAUACAAACCAGAAAAGGUUUUGUCUGUUUUUCUUGGUUUGUUGACCUAAUUACUAAUACACAUCUUUACUUUUCUCUUAGAGCCUGAUCACAUCCCUACCUUUCCAUUCCUUCUUUCUGCAUCUCAUAUUUUGUAUACACUUCUAUGAUAGCACUCCAUCUUGCAUUAUAACUGAUUGCUUACCACUAUUUCCAUACUGAAAGAUGUGUUCUUUGUGGCAGCAGCUGUAUUUUAUUUAUGUUAAUAUUCUCUAUAUCCAGCUCAGUGAUGCCAUAUGGUUGGUAUGCAAUCAAUUCUUGUUAAAUGAAAGACUAAAUGAAUAUAUGCAUAUUGAUAGGAAGAACUUGGCAAAAGGGAGAUAUAUUUAGGCCUUUUGAAGCUUCUUGAAUCUCACCAGCUGGGCUGGGCUCAUAGUUCCUGCUUGUAGUUCCAUUCACAUUCCCUAAAGACCUGGGUAGCUCUUUGAAUAUUUGGAUUUGUUGAGGGGAAUCCCAAUUAUACUCAUUAGACAGCACAUCCCUGAGGAGGGAUGGAAACAUUGAGAACACGCUCUCCAUCAGGGUAAAUAAAAGAAGGGAACUGAGCCACGCCUGUCCAAUCUCAACAGAACCCUCUGUUGUACAGGAAACAGUGGAGAAAUUGUUCAUUUACAUCUCAUUCCUGAUGGAAAUAUUCCAACUGCAAAGCCAGUGUCAGCUUUGAUUUCCUGCCCUGAGAGGAGGCGCGGUCAAAAGGCACAAAGUGGGCUUGUGCAGUCAGAGGAAUUAGGUUGGGUAAGAAGAGACUCUCACACUCCAUCUUUGUUCAAUGGUGGAACUUCUAGCUGGGGUGGUCAACCCAGCCCAGCCCAACCUUAGCCUUGGGGGCCUGUGAGGACUCCAUUCUCUUAGAACCACAAGAUAUCAGG